rnacentral:rRNA from 1 species
AUUGAAUGGCUGCAGUAUUUUGACUGUACAAAGGUAGCAUAAUCAUUAGUUUCUUAAUUAGAAGCUGGUAUGAAUGGUUAAAUGAGAAAAUAGCUGUCUUUAUUUAAAUUUUAAUAGAAUUUUAUUUCUAAGUUAAAAAGCUUAGAUUUAUUUAAAAGACGAGAAGACCCUAUAGAGUUUAAUAGUUUAGAUAUUAUAAGUUUUAGGAAUAGUUAUUUUUUAAUGUUUAUAUUUAUUUGAUUGGGGUGAUUAGAAAAUUUGAUUAACUUUUGUUUAAUUAAUACAUUUAUUUAUGAUUUAUUGAUCCACUAUUAGUGAUUAUAAGAUUAAAUUACCUUAGGGAUAACAGCGUAAUUUUUUUAGCGAGUUCUUAUCAAUAAAAAAGUUUGCGACCUCGAUGUUGGAUUAAAAUUAACUUUCGGUGCAGUAGUUGAAAAGUUAGGUCUGUUCGACCUUUAAAAUUUUACAUGAUCUGAGUUUAAACCGGUGUGAGCCAGGUUGGAUUCUAUCUUUAAAUUGAUAAAGUGAUUUAGUACGAAAGGACCCAUCAUUUGUAAAAAUUAUUUAAUUUUGAAUAAAAUUGUUACUUUGGCAGACUAGUGCAUUAAAUUUAGAAUUUAAUUAUGUAUUUAAUAAUUACAGGUAAUACUUGUUUAUAUUAGAUUUUAUUCUUAUUUUUAUUAGAAGACUAAUUCUGAUUAUUUGUGUGUUAAUUGGAGUA